UCGAGAAACAAUCAACCUAUUGAUAUUGAAAAAUUUGACAGAAAGUAGACGAAAUCCCUUAUGUAUUAUGUAGGUACUACCUCCCUGAGAGGAUAGACAUUGUAUAAGAGCGAAGCGAAUUAGUAUCACUUGAUCUUGCCAUGGCUGCAGUAACCCUAGGUAUCCCGGGAUGAUGAUCCACACCCUCGUCUAAUAGAUCGAGGAUCAACAUUGUCGUUUGUCUAGGCGCUUCUACUGGCCCACGACCUUCCAACAUUUCCACGACUCGUGCCAUUGUUGGCCUAAGACUAGGCCGUUCUUGGAUGCAAGACAACGCCAC